rnacentral:tRNA from 1 species
GUCCGGCUAGCUCAGUCGGUAGAGCAUGAGGCUCUAAAUCUCAGGGUCGUGGAAUCGAGCCCCACGUUGACG